UUUCUCUCUCUCAAACCCUGGUGUCGUUGCUCAUCUCGCUUCUCUUCUUUGGUGAUUUCCCUUCUUAUCUUGGAUCUUUCUUAAAUCAUCAAAGAUUGUAGGAAUUGAUUUCUUUUGAGAGAAUGAAUUGCGGUUUCAAAGGGUGUUUGUAUACUUUUGAACUAUAAGCCACGGCUGUCAUUUCUCUGUCGAGUUUUUUACUUCUUUUUUCUUCCAAUUUUUGUUUAGUUUGUUUUUAUUUUACUUUUUAAUGAAUUCUUUCAAAUAAAUUGUGUCUUUUGUAGAUUGAUGAGUUGUAUAUUCUUGAUUUUUGAUCCGUUCCAUUAUAUUAAGAUCUGCUUUUUUUUUUCUCA